AGUAGCGGUGAAAUGCGUAGAUAUCUGGAGGAAUACCAAAGGCGAAGGCAGUCCCCUGGUCCGAUACUGACACUGAGGUACGAAAGCGUGGGGAGCAAACAGGAUUAGAUACCCUGGUAGUCCACGCCCUAAACGAUGUCGAUUAGCCAUUGGAAGGACCCCUUUUCCUUUCAGUGACGUAGCUAACGCGUUAAAUCGACCGCCUGGGAAGUACGACCGCAAGGUUAAAACUCAAAGGAAUUGACGGGGACCUGAACAAGCGGUGAAUGAUGUGGAUUAAUUCGAUGCUACGCGAAGAACCUUACCUACCUUUGACAUGGCCAAAGUUCUACCGAGAGGCGGAAGUACUCGUAAGAGGAUUGGCGCACAGGUGCUGCAUGGUUGUCGUCAGUUCGUGUCGUGAGAUGUUGGGUUCAGUCCCGCACCGCACGCAACCCUUAUCUUUAAUUGCUCCUAUUUUAACAGGCACUUUAAAGAAACUGCCAAUGAUAAGUUGGAGGAAGGUGGGGAUCACGUCAAGUCCGCAUGGCCUUUAUAGGUAGGGCUUCACACGUCAUACAAUGGUUAGAACAAAGAGCUGCAAAUUCGUAAGAAGGAGCCAAUCUCACAAACCUAACCUCAGUUCGAAUUGCGGUCUGCAACUCGAGCGCAUGAAGCCGGAAUCGCUAGUAAUCGUGGAUCAGAAUGCCA
rnacentral:rRNA from 1 species